UAAUUGUGCAGUACUAAACUUGUUAUGAUCUCGUUAGUUAUUUUUUUUAGCAGUAUCAGUAUAUAUAAUUAUAGUAGAAUUAAUUUUGAAUUAUUUCAAUUCAACUUAUUGGAUAGAUGAGAUGUUUUUUGUUUUUUUUAAGAGGCAUGAGCUUAAUUUGAUAGGAAUACAAUUUCGAAAUGAUUUUUAAACAUCACCCCAAUAUCUAUACAUAUACAUUAUUUCUUCUAAAGUUGCCACGUGAUAAUUUUUUCUCCAUGGUUGAGUGUGGAUUCCAUUCCGAACCAGCUCAAGUCUUUCCUUUUCUCAUUUCGUCGGCUGUUAUCUUCGUUCAUCAGCAAGAUGAAUCUCAUUUUUUAUCAUUUCAUCGUCGUUUUCUUUUUUUUUUUUAUCGACAUUUUUUAUUUUUUUUAAAUUAUUUAUCCAUUGUAUCAUGCGGAUUAC
rnacentral:lncRNA from 1 species